rnacentral:rRNA from 1 species
CCCUUAGAUGUUCUGGGCCGCACGCGCGCUACACUGAUACAAUCAACAAGUGCCUUUUGCCGACGGGUGAAGAGGACUCUUGUGAGUUUGUAUCGUGAUGGGAACAAACGAUUGCAAUUAUUCGUUUCGAACGAGGAAUUCCUAGUAAGCGCGAGUCAUCAGCUUGUGCUGAUUACGUCCCUGCCCUUUGUACACACCGCCCGUCGCUCCUACCGAUUGGAUGAUCCGGUGAGCUGGCCGGACAGGCGGACUGCAUCUGAUGCUCUUCGCUUGGAAGGCUCGCAAACCUUAUCAUUUAGAGGAAGGAGAGGUCGUAACA